UGGUCUUGGUAUGCUCUUGGCCGUGCGCCCGCCGCCCGCCUGACAGUUUGGCAAUACUGUAUCAGUCCGGCAGCUAUCAAUCCAUGACACAGCAGGCAGCAAAUGGAGAGAGAGAAGGAGGAAAGAAAUACGAGAAUCUGCUCAGGGAAGAGGAAAAGCUGGGAAUUUGAAUGGCAGUGGUAAGUGGCCAAAGACCAAGCACACGGGCACACGGGACUGAUGGACACACGAGCACACGGGCACACGGGACAGAUGGAGACGCAAAUGGCCGAAACUGUGUUGGCAAUUUGCUGCAAUCAUCUACAUGCAGCUUACAAUUCCCCUUGGUUCGCACUCCCCACUCCCACACCUCUCGUGUUUUUUCCGAGUGCAUCUAGAUUGCUGUUGUCUGUGCUUUUUGUUGGCUACUUUUUGGCAAGCGAAUUGUUGGCGUGGAUUUCUCAAGACCCUUGACGGAUGAUAGUCCAGGACACACACACACACACACACGAGAAUCGGAUCCUUUUGGCCUGACCUCUUGUGGCAGAUAUUUGCAUGUUUCUAAACAGGUGUAAAUUAAAUUUGACAACUUUUACGGCUGCCUGGGACAGCGCUGGACAAAGGCCGUCUGUCUGCCUUUCUGCCUGUCCUGUCCUUAUGCUUGUUGUCCCUGGUGGCAGAUUUAAUUCAA